GACAGAGGGUGCAAACGUUGCUCGGAAUUACUGGGCGUAAAGCGCGUGUAGGCGGACCUGCAAGUCGGACGUGAAAGCCCCGGGCUCAACCUGGGAAUUGCAUUUGAGACUGCGUAGCUAGGGUGCGGAAGAGGGAAGCGGAAUUUCCGGUGUAGCGGUGAAAUGCGUAGAUAUCGGAAGGAACACCAGUGGCGAAAGCGGCUUCCUGGUCCAGCACCGACGUUCAGGCACGAAAGCGUGGGGAGCAAACAGG
rnacentral:rRNA from 1 species